CAGGUCUGCUGUGGGCCUUUCCCAGGCGUGGCUGAGACUUUCAGGCGCCACGGGCUUCCCCCCGGGCAGGAUGUUGGCGUUUGGAGUUGUUGUGGUGCAGGUGAUGAAGGCAAAUGUGGUGAGCAAAGGAAGAUCAG